CUCCCGCCGUCUCUCUCUCCCUCUCUCCUCCCCUCCUUCCCCAAAUCCCCAAAUAUAACCCUAACUCACCCCUCUCCCCCCUUCUCUCUCUCUCUCUCUCUCUCUCUCUCUCUCUUCUGUGAACUACUCCCGCCGUCGACCCAUCCGCCGCCGCCUCCGCCUCCGCCGCUGCCUCCAGCUCGAUCGGACUCCGCCUUCGCCGCUGUCAGAUCCGCCUCUGGUCGUCGCUGCUACGUCCGUCGUCGCCGCUGCCUCCGCCUCUGGUCGCCGCAGCAGCCGCCGCCUCCAGCUCGAUCGGGCUUCGCCUCCGUCGCUUCCAGAUCCGCCUCCGCCUUCAUCGCUGCCAGAUCCGCCUCAAAGGUAUAUAUAUUGUGUGUAUAUGUAUUCUGUGUGUAUGUAUAUUCUGUGUGUGUAUAUAUUUUGUGUGUGUAUAUGUUAACAGUUGGACUUUGAGUUGUAUGUGGUUCAGUUUUUUAAUACACAAAUUUUACUACAAAUAUUAUAAAUAAAAGUAAUAACAUCUCAAAUAUAUAUAAUCGCUAUCAAAAUUGUCCCAGACAUCUAUACUUAGUUUAGUUUCAGCAAUGGUGUGCAUAUCGUAUGGCCAUAAAUCCACAAAAUGGUAGUUUUCUUGAGUUUUCAGCAAUGGUGUGCAUAUCAUAUAUAUGCUUUUGUCAAUUAAAAAAUUUACUUGAAAGAAAGAUGUUUUAAAGAGUAUAUCCAUAGAUUAUUUAAGGGUAACACCGUCACAAAAUUGUGACAUGGCUUUAGAAGUGGGAGAAUCAAAUUGGUGUGUUCUCCCUUUCUCCAAACCUGCCAGUUAAAUCUUUUGAGUUUCUAUCAGUUAAAAUCUUUUUAAUUAAUAUCAACCGCAAGACUUCACCAAUUUUCCAAACCUAGAAUUGAAUAAUUGACAAUCCUUGGACUUAUUACUGUUUUCAUGCCCAACUGCUUUCAUUUUGUUGUAUUUCCUGUAUGCUAAACAGUACUUAUAAUCCUUGGGUGGGUUAUUUGUUAUAAAUACAUUCAAUAUUUUAUUUCCUAUCUAAUACAUAGAGCAUUUUCUCAAGUAUAUUGAUGUUAGCAAGGAAGUAGGUACAUUAGUAAUCCUUCCAGAUAAAACUAUUGAGCACAGCUACAAAAGGUAUCAACAUUUGCUUGCUUUGGGCGGUUUAGUUGCUUGCAACAUGGGUUGCCUGUUUUUGUUUUUGUUUUUGCUUUUUUUCCCAACUGAAAUCACCUGCAGCAGAAUUGGGCGUGGAAGUUGAUGUUUUCUCUAGAUGAAUGUUGCAUUUUUGCUAUAGUUUUGGUGUACUCUGUUGGAGAUUCUGCAGAAGGUUCUUGGAAAAUAUUUCCCCUGGGUUGCUGAGUUGUUAGUUGGUAAGAGAAUUGCCUUCACUUGCUUUCGUUACUUGAAAGUUUAAUUAUGUUGUCUUAGCAUAGUAUUCUUUAAGAAAUUGGAAGUUUUAUGGCUGUGACAAUAUGUUCCAAUUAUUAUUCAAAUAUUAUUUGAAAGUUGAUGUUAUUUGUGUUAAUGUGGCAAGUUAACAUGCGAGAUGUUACCUCUUUUGUUAUGGUAUAGCACCUCUUAUCAUAAAUUAACUCUCUAUUGAAUACUAUAUCAUGCUGACAUAGUACACACCCUACUUUAAUUUUACAUGAUACAAUCCUGCCUCUUAGAUGUUGCACACUAGUACAAAUCCUGCCUCUUAGAUGAGUCCUGUGAUUUUAUUUUAAUUCUUCAAAUAGUGGAACAGUCAUCAUUGGAAACUUAAUUUGCAGCUUCAUGAAUGUACAAAACUAUUGGUACUUUGAUUUACUUCAUUGUUUUGUUGAAGUAAAUAAUGUUUCCUUUGUAUGCAGUAAUAGGACUCUCUUCUGUUGUAAUGGUGUAUACUGAGAUUUACAGUACCCAUGGGAAUUUGCAUAUUCUUAUUUUUACUAUUGUAGGGAACCAAGGCAUUUUGCAUGUUCAUUUGUCUUAUAAAUGUAAUUAUUUAUUUUAAAUAAUUAAACCCAUAAGGGAACAAGGCCAUCACCAUGAAUGAGUAACUGGCAGCGUCACGAUGGUUGGAUUGCUAUUUUGUUCACAUAUAUAUAUAUAUAUAUUCUAUUGGGAACAUAUAGAUAAAUAUGUAUCCUCAUUGGAAUGUCCAUUGGCUAUACAAUCACUGCAUCAAUAAGCAUGGUGUAAGCCGCUAAGUAAUUUGCAUACAUGGAACAUAUAGAUAUAGAUUUAUAGAUAUAGAUAUAUAGCAGACUUAUGUUUACUUGGACAAAGUUAUUAACAUUGAGAUUGGGUCUUUUACCUCUAUCCAUAUUCUUAUCCGUUACUAAAUUUGUUGUUGGUGAGAUUCAACAAUAACUUUUUUUUUUAUAGAGCAUAUCAGCAACUUGUUCUGUAUAUGUUCUACUUUGGAUUAUCUAUAAGUGUACACGAGAGAAGCUCUCUAACUCUUGAAAUACCGUGUUAAUCCAGUUGUAUAUUCUUGAUUGUAUUAUGAAUUUUUAUGAAUUGCAUUUAAGUGAUUGGUGGGUCCAUUGUGGGCUUUGUGAAUUUAUUUGGGAUAAAUGAUUUGCUUUAGUGAUGUCUAAAUUUAAAAGGAGUAUUGAAAUUUUGCAGAAUUCAAAAACAAGUAUGAGAAAGCAAAAAAAAAUUAGGUCUCAAAUGUCGGGGGCAGUAUGCUUACCUAUGGUUCUAUUCCCAUGUCGGAGUAUAAGAAAAAAUUGGUAAUAUUUGAUAUUUGAUAUUUUUUAUUAUUUUUAUUUUACUUAAUUAUUUUUUAAGAAAUAACAAUUUUUGUAUGAACAUUUUUUUUUUCUUACAGUCGAAGCAAUUUGCUAACUUUCAAACGCUACAAUAGGAGGCAUCAUCACACCAUUGAAGGUAAGUUGCCAUUAUCGUCGAGCUCAUUAGUAGAAUAGAUACAAGAAGCUAUUAAGACAGCUAUGAAAUCCUUUCACAAUCACCUGUCAGCCAUUCAAGGUAGAUUGCCUCUCCCGCCGUCGUCUUCAUCAUCACCACCCUUAGAUCUUUUGGAUUAUUAAGAGGAUUCGUUAUUUGUAUGGAUGAUAGAAUUUAUUAUGUAUUUUACUAUUUAUGAAUGUGUAAUUAGUAUAGAUAGAUUUUACAAUGUAUUUUUAAUAUUUAUGGAUGAUGUGUAUUACUUUAUGGAUUUAUUGUAUUGUAUGAAUGAUUUUUUUUAGUUCGUA